rnacentral:rRNA from 1 species
AGUGAACGCUGGCGGUAGGCCUAACACAUGCAAGUCGAACGGCAGCACAGUAAGAGCUUGCUCUUACGGGUGGCGAGUGGCGGACGGGUGAGGAAUACAUCGGAAUCUACUUUUUCGUGGGGAUAACGUAGGGAAACUUACGCUAAUACCGCAUACGACCUACGGGUGAAAGCAGGGGAUCUUCGGACCUUGCGCGAUUGAAUGAGCCGAUGUCGGAUUAGCUAGUUGGCGGGGUAAAGGCCCACCAAGGCGACGAUCCGUAGCUGGUCUGAGAGGAGGAUCAGCCACACUGGAACUGAGACACGGUCCAGACUCCUACGGGAGGCAGCAGUGGGGAAUAUUGGACAAUGGGCGCAAGCCUGAUCCAGCCAUACCGCGUGGGUGAAGAAGGCCUUCGGGUUGUAAAGCCCUUUUGUUGGGAAAGAAAAGCAGCAGGUUAAUACCCCGCUGUUCUGACGGUACCCAAAGAAUAAGCACCGGCUAACUUCGUG